UUUAAAACUAGUUUUUUCUACAGUUGCAAUGUUAUUUGAUGUCUCUCUUUGUUGCUUUGGUCGUGAUUGGUUAAUCUAAACGUCAUCCAGGAAUCUGGCCAAUGACAACUGGGCACGCCUCCUACCGCUCAAAUUUGAAUUUACACACCAGUCCGUUGCUGCUCUGUUUAUCUGCAGUCCUGCUCCGUUCAGUGCAGUAGUAAUGGCUUUUACAUGAUUAUCACAUAUCUGACAGAUGAAUUCUUAUUUUGACCGAUUUUGAGUUAUGCGGUGCAGAUUGAGAACGAAAAAGCGCAAAUAUGAACACAGACACAAUGGCUAAUGGACACAUAUUGCAAACGGCAGAAGAGAGGACAUGAAACCAUUCUUGGACUCUGAAGAAUACUAUGCAAACCAUGCUUUUGGAUCUACUGUUAAGUUUUUGUAAUAAAGCUGAGGUUUUGGGAUUGAAAAUCUUCUGCCACAUGAUCUUCCGUAAAAAAAAAAGUCAGUUAUGCAGAUUGGAAAAGACAUGGAUGCAGCAAGGAUCCAGCUGAUUACUUCAGAUUUGGUGGACUGCUCUUUAUCUGCUGUGACUGUCACUUCUGGUGCAGAAUCAUGGACCUUUAUUUGUAUGUUUUGAUUUGACUUAUUACACUUGUGUAGCUAGUAUUCAGGAUUAAAAUACAAUGUAAUUUUUGUCCACAUAUAUUAUCAGAGCUAUAUGGAAUCCAAUAGGGUCAGUCAAAUAUUGAGAAAAACACUAUAAACCUGAUUGGGAAAAUACAAGCUAAAAUACAGUUGCCUCCACAAUCUUUUUCAAAGAAAAAAUCAUGAUACUAUAACCCUAACUUGUAAGAUAAAAAUUUAAUUUUUAGUUUUUCAAUUGCUCCUCAAGAAUUCCUCCUCAGGAAUUUGUUUACAUAAAUUUUCAUCUAAAUAAUGAAACAGUUUUAAGCAUGGAGUACACUACACGACUUCUGAACAGAUUUUUGACUUACCGACUUUGUAAAUAAUGACAAAGGAAAGCUGGGCAUCAUAUCCUUAAGCCUGGAAUACACUACACUAUUUUUGCCCUGAUUUUCCACCAAUUUACAGUCAGGAGAAGUUGACACUAGUUGCCGAAAGUCAGAGCCAGCCUGCAGAUUUGAGAUGACAGAUUCCAUAGAAAAUUGCAUAGUGUAUGAUAGUCACAGACUCUGGUUUUUUAAGCUUCAGACUCUGAUUCUAUCCAGUCGGAGGAUAUCAAACGUUUGAUAUUUUCAGCUGAUUUUACAAUGCAUAUUGUUUUCAUUUGUCAUGCGUCUCCUAGCAACAAGGCUCAUGUUUCUGAGUGAGUUUGUUGUGAUCGGAACAACUUUAAAGUCUGGUAGUGUAUGAUCCUCAGUCAUGUAGUGUAUGAUGCCCAGUUUUCCUUUGUCGCUAUUUACAAAGUCAGUAUAUGUAUGAUGCCUAGUGUUUUAAAAAUCUGUUCAGAUUUUAAAAGUCAUGUAGUGUAUUCCAGCCUUUAGAAUUAACAGUCAUUUGAAACAGUGGCAAUCUUGUAGAUGUUUUGUAUUUCUUCUUUUGAGAAUAUUUAAUUCAACUUCUGAUCAAACUGUUCUGUUAAUUGGUACAGUAUUGUAAAUGUUGAAAUGCAUUUCCUUUCAAAUUUGUACUUUUUUUUUCUUCAAAAACUGA